GCGUUAUAACCAAGAAUGCGAGAGAUUCGGUUACAACAGGCAACGAACAAUGUUGCUAAUUAACAGCCGGAGUUAAUUUAAUUUCGCAAGAAGGGAUUCUUCGUGGGUACACGCGAUAUCUCGAAAUAAUCUCUCACUUGGGAAACAAUUUCAACGUCCAUUUUCUUUCCGAAGGUCGAACCUAUCUUCGAAAGAAGCCAUCAUCCGAAUUACUUUCUCGCAGGCGAACGCAAUCUAGUCCCGAGAUGGAAAUUCCCUAGCGAAUCGUUGGCGCUCACCGGCCCUUUACUUGCAGCACGCCGUAAUGAAUGUCCUGGUGCAUGCGGCAUCGUGACCUCUCGGACGGGCGCG
rnacentral:lncRNA from 1 species